rnacentral:rRNA from 1 species
GAUCCUGGCUCAGGAUGAACGCUAGCGGCAGGCCCAACACAUGCAAGUCGAGGGGCAGCACGGUGUAGCAAUACACUGGUGGCGACCGGCGCACGGGUGCGUAACGCGUAUGCAACCUACCCAUAACAGGGGGAUAACACUGAGAAAUUGGUACUAAUACCCAUAACAUCAGGACCGGCAUCGGUUCNGGUUGAAAACUCCGGUGUUAUGGAUGGGCAUGCGUUGUAUUAGCUGGUUGGUG